rnacentral:rRNA from 1 species
UACAGAGGUCUCAAGCGUUGUUCGGAUUCAUUGGGCGUAAAGGGUGCGUAGGUGGCGGGGUUAGUCAGGUGUGAAAUCUCGGAGCUCAACUCCGAAACUGCACUUGAUACUGCCUUGCUAGAGUACUGGAGAGGAGAUUGGAAUUUACGGUGUAGCAGUGAAAUGCGUAGAUAUCGUAAGGAAGACCAGUGGCGAAGGCGAAUCUCUGGACAGUUACUGACACUGAGGCACGAAGGCCAGGGGGAGCAAACAGG